UUGUAACACUGGAUCCCAUAUGAUCACUGAAGUUAAACAACAUCAAGCCUGGUCAGUAACUAGAUGGGUGACCAUAUAAUAAUACCAGGUGCUGUAAG